GAUGAAGAACGUAGUGAAAUGCGAUAAGUAAUGUGAAUUGCAGAAUUCAGUGAAUCAUCGAAUCUUUGAACGCACAUUGCGCCCAUUAGUAUUCUAGUGGGCAUGCCUGUUCGAGCGUCAUUAAUUCCACUUAAGCCCUGCUUAGUGUUGGGAAUCUACUCUAGUGGUGCUACCCUGGAGCUACCCCUGAAAGGGGGCUGGCCCGGUAGCUACCCUGUAGUUCCUCAAAGAUAGUGCGCGGAGUUGCGUGGUCCUCUGAGCUUAGUAACUAUACACCUAGCUUUUGAGUGUCCCGCGGCGCCUGCCGUUUAAACCCCAUCUUUUAAUGGUUUACCUCGGAUCAGGUAGGAAUACCCGCUGAACUUAAGCAUAUCAAUAAGCGGAGGA
rnacentral:misc_RNA from 1 species